AUGGAGGAGCAGGAGAUAAAUCUGGCCGUCGCCGGCGUAGGGGAGGUGAAGGAGGGGCUGGAGGAGUCGUUCGAGCCGACGGAGGACGAGCUGGUGCUGCACUUCCUGCGGCCGCAGCUGCGCGGGUUCGCGCCGCGCGUGGCGGGCGCGGUGGUGGAGGCGGACCCGUGCGCGGCGACCCCCUGGGAGCUGCUGGCGCGGCACGGCCUGCUGCGGCGCGGGCACGGCUACUUCUUCGCGGCGCGGCGGCGGCGCGGGAAGCGCGCCCAGGCGCGGCGCACGCCGGAGGGCGGCGGCGGCGCGUGGAUGCACAGCGGCAACAGGGAGGACCGCCGGUCCGUGACGGAGCUGGGCGUGGUGGCGCGCUGGUCCAUGACGCGCUACUGCUUCUACGCCCGCGACUGGGCGCAGGGGCGGCGGAGCACCGGCUGGGUCAUGUCCGAGUACGAGAUCACGGACCCGCGGUGCUACCGGCGCGCCGACGACGGCGAGGAGGACCACUACUGGGUGCUCUGCCACGUCCGCCGGAGCGUCAGGAAGAACCUCAAGCCGCGCUCCCGGAGGCCGUAG
rnacentral:rRNA from 1 species